UACGAAGGGGGCUAGCGUUGCUCGGAAUUACUGGGCGUAAAGGGCGCGUAGGCGGUCAGCACAAGUCAGUUGUGAAAUCUCCGGGCUUAACUCGGAACGGUCAAGUGAUACUGUCGCGCUAGAGUGCGGAAGGGGCAAUCAGAAUUCUUGGUGUAGCGGUGAAAUGCGUAGAUAUCAAGAGGAAUACCUGAGGUGAAGACGGGUUGCUAGGCCGACACUGACGCUGAAGCGCGAAAGCCAGGGGAGCAAACGGG
rnacentral:rRNA from 1 species